GACGAACGCUGGCGGCGUGCCUAACACAUGCAAGUCGAACGGAGUUAAGACUUCGGUUUUAACUUAGUGGCGAACGGGUGAGUAACGCGUGAGAAACCUGCCUUUCAGUGGGGGACAACAGUUGGAAACGACUGCUAAUACCGCAUAAUGUUGCGAGAGGGCAUCCUCUUGCAACCAAAGCUUUAUGUGCUGAAAGAUGGUCUCGCGUCUGAUUAGCUAGUUGGUGAGGUAACGGCUCACCAAGGCGACGAUCAGUAGCCGGUCUGAGAGGAUGAACGGCCACAUUGGGACUGAGAUACGGCCCAGACUCCUACGGGAGACAGCAGUUAGGAAUAUUCGUCAAUGGAGGAAACUCUGAACGAGCAAUGCCGCGUGAGUGAUGAAGGUUUUCGGAUCGUAAACUCCUGUCCUCAGGGAAGAGCAGAAGACGGGUACCUGAGGAGGAAGCCCCGGCUAACUACGUG
rnacentral:rRNA from 1 species